AACGAACGUUAGCGGCGCGCCUAACACAUGCAAGUCGCACGAGAAAGGGCUUCGGCCCCAGUAAAGUGGCGCACGGGUGAGUAACACGUGGGUAAUCUGCCUUCGAGCGGGGGAUAACAUUCCGAAAGGAGUGCUAGUACCGCAUAAGACCACGGCUCCGAAAGGAGCAGCGGUCAAAGCUGGCCUCUAUACAUAAGCUAGCACUUGAGGAUGAGCCCGCGGCGCAUCAGCUAGUUGGUGAGGUAAUGGCUCACCAAGGCGAAGACGCGUAGCUGGUCUGAGAGGAUGAUCAGCCACACUGGAACUGAGACACGGUCCAGACUCCUACGGGAGGCAGCAGUGGGGAAUCUUGCGCAAUGGGCGAAAGCCUGACGCAGCGACGCCGCGUGAGUGAUGAAGGCCUUCGGGUUGUAAAGCUCUGUGGGGAGAGAAGAAUAAGUGCGGGCUAAUACUCCGCAUGAUGACGGUAUCUCCUUAGCAAGCACCGGCUAACUCUGUGCCAGCCGCCGCCGUAAUAC
rnacentral:rRNA from 1 species